GAUAAACGCUGGCGGCGUGCAUGAGACAUGCAAGUCGAACGAAGGAUCGGGCUUGCUCGAUCCUUAGUGGCGGACGGCUGAGUAACGCGUAGGUGACCUACCCCGAAGUGGGGAAUAACUGCCCGAAAGGGUGGCUAAUACCGCAUGUGGUCGCACGUUCAUUCGUGCGAGUAAAGCCGCAAGGCGCUUCGGGAGGGGCCUGCGUCCGAUUAGCUCGUUGGUGGGGUAAUGGCUUACCAAGGCGGCGAUCGGUAGGUGGUCUGAGAGGACGAUCACCCAGACUGGGACUGAGACACGGCCCAGACUCCUACGGGAGGCAGCAGUCGGGAAUUUUGCUCAAUGGGGGAAACCCUGAAGCAGCAACGCCGCGUGAGGGAUGAAGGCCUUCGGGUUGUAAACCUCUUUUGUCAGGGACGAUGAUGACGGUACCUGGCGAAUAAGCCACGGCUAACUACGUG
rnacentral:rRNA from 1 species